rnacentral:lncRNA from 1 species
UUUGUUUCAUAUUUUAUUGAAUUUCAUUUAUAUUAAAUUAAAAAUAUAUUUCUGACAGAUUCAUGUAACAAAAAGGCAGAACAGUUUUCAAAUUGUUCAGCUGGGAUGAUCAGUAUGGAAUGAGGCAAAGCAGUUCGCAUUCUAUAAUUGCCUUGUACAGGUACAAUUCUUUCCCAAGAGCCAAAAGAGGAUCCUUGAGAACUAACUGAAAAGCCUAAUUACAUAAAUUUAAAAUACUGUUUCUCCCUCAUUCUCAAAUAACAACAGGAAUGAGGGAAAGGAAGGAGGAUGGGUAAAAGGUUGGAGGAGAAGAAAGAAUAAGAGAAAGUAUACUAAAAAUAUACCUAACAUUAAAAAAGUUAGUAUGUGUUAGGUGCAUACUCCUUCAUCAAUAACAUAGAAAAAAAUCAAAAUAACAUUACACCACACACAAUUGGCAUAUCCUAUUGUGUAAGCGAGUGCAGAGGUUGAACACAUCACAAUAGUGCUGAACACAGAAUCACAAGUAAUGUCAAAAUGAUAACUUCCAACCAAAAAAGAAACAAUCACAAGCCAAUUACUUAUAUACAAAUCAACCCUAAAGACAAUUAUGUUCCAAAUAAAGAUGUCCACAAAAGAAAAUCAAAUCAACAUUAUACUUAUUUACAAAUGCAACUAGCCAUGUCUUUAACAAGCUAUAAAAAUACUAUUCACAUUUUCAAACAUACAGUAGUAUUUUUUGUUUGUUUAUUUCAAAAAGGCAGCUAACUUUGAAUGCAUGGAUUUAAAUAAAACAUUGAUGGCUUACCAGCAAGGUAUUUUUGCACCCCAAUCCUUUGAAGAUACUUCACAAGAGAGAGGGCUUGUUUUCUGUUUACAAGUUAAGAAAAUAAGGAAAUGAGUACAAAUGUAUAUACCUUAAGCCUCUGCCUUUUCAGUGAAGUGACUCCCUCUCUCACCCAAACUGAUGUCAGUAAAUUACUUUGAUGCAUGUGUCAGAUGAAUGUUUGAGAGUAGAUUUAAGAUGACUUUUUCUGUGCUAUGAAUUGUCUUGCACAUUGAUUUCAUGUUCAUUUGAUCUUCUUGUAAUGGUGCUCAAGAAAGAGAUGAACUAGUCAUACCAUGUGAAAAUGCGGUUUCAACAUGCAGCCACGCAAUCCCUGGUGCUCUCAACAUGAGAAGGAGACACACCAGCCAGGGAGACAUGCAUUCAAAGUUAGCUACCCUCACACAGCUGC